rnacentral:tRNA from 1 species
GCCACAGUAGCUCAGUAGGUAGAGCACCCGCCUUGUAAGCGGAAGGUCGUGGGUUCAAUUCCCACCUGUGGCU